AUUGAACGCUGGCGGCAGGCCUACCACAUGCAAGUCGAACGAGAGGCGGACGGGUGAGUAAUGUCUGGGAAACUGCCUGCUGGAGGGGGAUAACUACUGGAAACGGUAGCUAAUACCGCAUACCAUCAGAUGUGCCCAGAUGGGAGUAGAUUGUUGGUGGGGUAAUGGCUCACCAAGGAUACGAUCCCUAGCUGGUCUGAGAGGAUGACCAGUCACACUGGAACUGAGACACGGUCCAGACUCCGACGUGAGUCAGCAGUGGGGAAUAUUGCACAAUGGGCGCAAGCCUGAUGCAGCCAUGCCGCGUGUAUGAAGAAGUCCUUCGGGUUGUAAAGGACUUUCAGCGGGGAGGCGUUACCCGCAGAAGAAGCACCGGCUAACUCCGUGCCAGCAGCCGCGGUAAUAC
rnacentral:rRNA from 1 species